rnacentral:SRP_RNA from 1 species
GGCCAGGCCCCGGGCAACGGGAAGCUGUGAACUCCGUCAGGUCCGGAAGGAAGCAGCGGUAGCAGCCAAUUCCGUGUGUUCCGGGCACACCUGACCGCC